rnacentral:lncRNA from 1 species
GGAGGCUGUCAAGGGGCCAGCAGAUAGAGUAUUUAGGGAAUCUCAAGUGGAACUGAUGCUGUGGAGGACACAAAGGUAGUUGUUCUUAGUGCUUAAGGAAAACAAAAGCUUGCUUUCUUCUGGAAGAUUUGUUGCCCUAUGGAAGAUUUGUGGAGGCCAUGAUGAGAGUUUUAGUUGGAGUGCUCUCCUUACUCCUUUCCAUGGAUUCUUUUGUUCCUGAGCUGUUGGGAUGCUUAUUGUAGUUUUUUGACUGGAACUCAGCUUCUGCAGAGAAGGUCAAGAGGUCUGUGAGCAGAAGGAAGGAACCCUGGCCUUUCUGCAGAGGACAUCAUUUGAGUCUUCUAACAGAAAUGCCAGCAUUCAAGCACUGCAAAAAGCCUACUCGGCCCCAGCUAAAAGCUCAGGCUCAAUAUGGUUAUUUCCAGCUCCGUGGGCAGAUGAAGACAUUUCUGGUGUGCUCCCAUUUCUGGAGGUGCCCUGAAAGGAUGACUGUGUUGGCAGCACUCUUCCUGACUCCACUAAAUGCAAGGCUGCAGAUAAGCCAUAUGAAACACACUUAGGUCACUGACCAGACCGGGCUGAUGAAUAUUACAGCAACAACCUGAAAUGGAUAUGCUCAGAACAGGGCCUGACCCUUCCUCUCCUGAAGCCCCACCAGUGCUCACCGUGAAGAACUGCAUGCUGUGAGUGCUGCCAGGCAUCUGCAGCCAAAGGAGGCUCCUGUGUACCACGGAGAGUAACAGCAAAAUUCUGGAGAGCCCAAGACUGUACAUUUUUCACCUAACACCUGUGGCAGUGCAAAGGCAUUUGGAUGAGUCAUGGCCGGGCUCCUAUGAUUCCUGCACUUUUCUCCUGCCGCCAGUGCAACAAGAAGACAGAGAGGAAGAUAACAAACGUCUUCAUGGUGGCAUUUUGCUGUUCUGGGAAGGGUUUCAGCUUAAGAAACAGAGUCUGCUGGCUGUUGGGCCACGUGCAAGUGGCCAGCAGUGGAAGCACGUCACCUACAUCUGUGCCUCUGCCUCAGGAUGGCAGGAUCAAAUGAGAUUGCCAGUAUCAGCUACUUGUAAAAGUCUCCUCUCUCUUUUCAACUUUCCUUUAAACACAUGCAGGAACACAGAAAGCAGCUGGGCAGCAGAGCUGUGUGUGCUGCCUGAAGAACCACCGUCCGUCAGAGCCCCUUGACCCUGCUUAUCUUUUGUAGGUGAAGCUGAAGCUGGGUGAAACAAUAGCAAGAUGAUGCAUUUGCAACUCAAGCUGGGACUGUCUUCACACUGUGCGGCUGAGCCAUUCGCUUCCGCUGGCACCUAUGGAUGCAGAAAUGAGAAAGCAGAGCAUCUGAAGGCUCUGAAGAAGGCCAGGAACUCUGCUGCGUGGCUGACAAGGAGCUUCCACAGGGAUUUCCGUCUCCCACCAAAGACUGAGAGCCUGUGUGUACAGCUAGGGAGAGUGCUUCACCGUGUGAAGGAGGAGCCAUCACAGCCCCUCGUCCCCUUCACCGCUCAGCUCUGCAGGAUGGGUAUCGCAGGCACACACAGUACCAGCUGUGAUUUGGAACAAACACAGUCUGGACAAAGUACAAAUGUCUUUAUCUUUCAGCAUACUCCACAAAAUUUCAAGGGAUUCUGUGCAGGGGCAGAGAAAUUGGUUUUCAUUUAAAGCACUGAAAUUGGCAUCUAAAAAUAUUUAUAUUAACCUACAUGUGGACAGUGUUAGGGUCCCAUGCUUGACAACAAAAUUCUGGGGAAGAUGAGUUCUUCAUUAGCGCACUUAGGAACAAGAAGAUUGUCUUUAGGACACUGGUUCCCCAAGCUGGAGGGGAUAAAGCCAGAAAAAAAACAAACAGAAACAGCAUUGGCUUCUGAUGGUAGGUCAGUCAUACUCGCGUGAGUGCAGCCCCGCAGAGCCAAGGGCCAUCUCAGGCUCAUAUCAAUUGAACUAAUACAAGUCUUUCAUAUAAGCAAAUCCAACGGCUCGAGCUUUGUCUCCUGUUUAUCCAUACUCCAUUUAUUGAUACUCCAAUGGAUACUCAUCCAUAAAUAUAUUGAAUUUCCUACAUAGUAAAUCAUUUCAGAGGCUAUAAUAUUUCUCAGCGCUAUCAUUAAAAAGAUUUCCA